GUUUGGGAAUGCGGAAGGGCUGCACCAAUUGCUGGGUGUGAAGGGGGCGGCACUGUAGCGAGCUCCGCCCCAAGAUGUGCACAGGCCGACAUUCCCUCCGGCGGGAGCGGGACAGGAACACGGGAACCGCCGGGAAACAGCCAGACACGUCCAAUAACGGGCAAUGACAUGCUCGGACUACUUCUAUCAGCGGAACGGAAGCAGGUCUUAGCCGUGGACACGUGUGUGCGCGCGGUAACUGGACGCUCCCGGCACAUGGACACGGAAACCCUGAGCCGCAGCCCAUCCGCCUUCUACAUGUUUUCAUCUCCACGUCUCCCUCUCUUUCAUGAUUCUACCCACUUCACAGGAAAGGAAUGGUUAUUUAAAAAGGCAAAAAAAAAAAAAAAAACUCAGGAAUGAUACUUAAACACAGUAGCCUUGCGUUUUCCCAAAGUGCAGAAACAGUGGCGUGAAUGUGUGUGUGU